rnacentral:rRNA from 1 species
AACGAACGCUGGCGGCAUGCCUAACACAUGCAAGUCGCACGAGACCUUCGGGUCUAGUGGCGCACGGGUGCGUAACGCGUGGGAACCUGCCCUUAGGUUCGGAAUAACUCCCCGAAAGGGAUGCUAAUACCGGAUAAUGUCUUCGGACCAAAGAUUUAUCGCCUUUGGAUGGGCCCGCGUUGGAUUAGCUAGUUGGUAGGGUAAAAGCCUACCAAGGCGACGAUCCAUAGCUGGUCUGAGAGGAUGAUCAGCCACACUGGGACUGAGACACGGCCCAGACUCCUACGGGAGGCAGCAGUGGGGAAUAUUGGACAAUGGGCGAAAGCCUGAUCCAGCAAUGCCGCGUGAGUGAUGAAGGCCUUAGGGUUGUAAAGCUCUUGUACCCGGGAUGAUAAUGACAGUACCGGGAGAAUAAGCGCCGGCUAACUCCGUG